rnacentral:rRNA from 1 species
CACGUAGGGUGCGAGCGUUGUCCGGAAUUAUUGGGCGUAAAGAGCUCGUAGGCGGUGUGUCGCGUCGGCCGUGAAAACCUGCAGCUUAACUGUGGGCUUGCGGUCGAUACGGGCAUCACUGGAGUUCGGCAGGGGAGACUGGAAUUCCUGGUGUAGCGGUGAAAUGCGCAGAUAUCAGGAGGAACACCGAUGGCGAAGGCAGGUCUCUGGGCAUUAACUGACGCUGGAGGCGCGAAAGGCCGUGGGGAGCGAACGGG